UAUUUAUGAUGAUUUGCCAUGCUAAUACUGAGAUAGCUCAAGGCUGUCUUUGAGUUGAUUGAAAAGGACUGACACAUAAAAUGA